AGGAAUGCCCUACCUUCUGCCCACAAAUUUACCAGCCAGUGGCAGCCCUGUGUGGCUCCGAAAUCAGGGAGUUUGGAUAUCGCUGUGAAUUGGAAGCACACAACUGCCUACACAACAACGAAUGCAAAGGCUGACGUUACCAGGAGCGAUACUUGGAUGGCUGAUGCAUCAGUCGAAGAAACGCUUGAUGGACAUUUUUUGAGGUUUUGUGAUUUGCUGGUGGAAACAAAAUUAUUGCAGAAAUUAAAUACGGAAAUGUGGGCGUGUUA